GGAUAGCUAUGUCAGAAGCCUGAGAGGCAACGUGGAUGACAUACGAAGAAGUAUUAGUGAUGGACAAACAAGCAGUGGAAAUGAACCUAGCGGUGGUGGCAUCACGGAAGUGGAAGGUGCCAUCUUUGCAGUAAUGAGUGUUGUCUUCCUCGUCUUGGUGAUCGUCCUGCCGAUAGUUGUUGGCGGAAAGGUGGCAGAGAAAAGAGUCAUGAAGCUACUUCAGGAGCGCGCGGACAGACGGAACACCGAAGCUAUGGCAGUGCCCUAUGUCUACGUAAAUGAAGGGCAAGAACCUUACGGAUUCGACGACCAUUCACAAAGACGACAUAGUGGGAAAAGGGAAAACGUCAUUUGUCCC